rnacentral:antisense_RNA from 1 species
GGCGAGGCGAGGCCUACGGAGCGGAGGAAGACACUUAAAGAUGAAGUGCUUAAUUCAAGGUCACAGAAUGUCGGGGAUGGACCUCCAGAUUUCCUUACUGACCUGCAUUAUCUUGUGGAUACCUGAGUGAAUUCCACACCACCCAUUUUAUAGAUGAAGCCACUGAGACGUGGAGCAACUGACUGAGUAGUCACUGCCCCACCCCUGCCUGGAGCCUCACACAUGACUUCUCUUAGUGACCACAGGUUGGUUGAGGGGUUUAACAAGGCUAAGAAGGUGAGACGUGGUCUUGUAACACAGUGGUUAAGAAUGUGACUUUGGAGCCAGCCUGCUAGGGGCUGAAUUCUGACUCAGCCAUUUAUUAACUGUGUGACCUUAGGGAGGAGGACCUGGUUGAUAGAAGAAUUUAUCUCAUAGUCUUAACAUCCACUGUAAUUCCGAACUUUGAGGACGAUAGAGAUCAGUGGGCUUUGACUGCCCAGCAUGCAGUCUCCAUUCUUAGGUCAUAGAAUUUUCCACACUCCUUGACGGAGGUUCUUAACCCUUAUCCAUCAGCAUUCUCAGACAGCACCUCCGGUUAGGGACAGUAUCUGACCGUCCGACAUCCCUGCAGCCCCCAUGCUGUCACACAGACUCAGCCUCAGGUAGAUGGUUUCCGUAGAUGGUGGCUUUCUUUGGACCCUUGAUAUCAACCAGUUACUAUUUGACUCUUCUGCAGAACCCCAUGUUGACCCCUGCUUUGAGGUGGCAGCGUUAACACUACUCUUUGUUAUAAGCUCUCGUCUGGGGCAACUCAGGAGAACGGGACCAGAUGUGCAGAGGUAAUGAAUACCA